rnacentral:tRNA from 1 species
GCUCGGGUGGCAGAACGGCCAUGCGCCCGCCUGCAGAGCGGAGGAACCGAGUUCGACUCUCGGCCCGAGCU